ensembl:lincRNA Gm14225 predicted gene 14225
CAGGCAAGGCAGCAGACCCAGCAAGAAUCUGGGACCGGAAAGAGAGGACAGAGAGGCUCCUCCCAACCUGCCAGCCCAGCCCAGAGGUCUCUUCACCGCCUGGGGUCAGAUGGACCAAUCAAGGCCUUGAGGGAAGAAGCACCAGACAGAAACUCGCAGUAGCAGAAUGAGGUCUCCACGCAGGCCUGAGUCUGGACGGGGCACAGGCUCCAUACUCCACUGCUCGGGAAGACGCCCACCAUUGCAUUAAAGUAACUCCCUCAUUAAUGAGGUCACCUCACUGACUCUUGCAAUAGUGAACGCUGAAGAGGACGCAACUGGGUGGAUGGGGCCAGUCCACUGUCCACCAGGCCGGCCACGGGGCUGUGCUUUCUGUCCGCCAGGCCCAGUUAGCUGUCUUCCUCCUGGGAAGUAGCUGCCUUGCUUUCCCCAGGUCUGGGCUCCCACACGGGCACCCACAGCCCUCGGGUGCACCUCCCAGCACCAAGCACAUUAUCUCAGUUGUCUGUCAGAGUCUCUGGACUACUGGAAGAAAGAGACG